ensembl:lncRNA
GGACAACCGAGCCAAUCAACAGCCUGGCAGGAUUACGCAGCAUAUGGGCAUGUCCUGACUGUGAGGGAGAGCUAAACAGAGCAACUGUCAAUGGUGAAAUGGUGUGUGGGUGUCGUACACAGUAAUGGGUCAAUCACUCCGAAAAUAAGACUUUUUCUUCUGACUGAGCACGGAAGAGCUCUGUUCUCACCUAAUGUUGUGAAGCCUCCCCUGGUAGUCGCACCCCUAGUCCAAACAGUAGUCCCUGUUAUCUGGGGCCCCUGUGUUGCCUGGUACUGCAGGACCUUGGAGGACCCUCCACCCUCUCUGAACAGAGCAGCUCCCCAGCGUAGAGGCUACAUUGGCUGGCUUAUCUCGUCGCCUUUUGGUCCCGAAAGGCCUGUGCCCCGUUCUUCUGUGUCUAAUCUACAGCCACCGCUCCUACUGGUUCAGCAGCACUGGCA